UCCAGGGUUAGGCGGAAUAGCAAUAGAAGUGUACGGUUAGUGUGUCAGUAUGGCUAGUCUGGAAUUGUUUGGCUCUCACUCGGCAUCUGGCUGACUUGUUUAAUUAUUUUGGGGUUUUUUUCAGAUGCAGAGAGAGAGGAAGCGCACCAAAGAGCAGCACAGGAGGGGAGCAGAGCGCCGUAAGGAGGUGCUGCAAGUGAGGACAGCUGCAGGGUCCGUCUCUGGACCGAGCAGCUGAUGAAGAGGCACCGGGCAACUGCAGGAACAUUCCCAGUUAGCCAAUGUGUGGUGUUGAUGUUAUUGUUGCUGAUGGAUUCGGAUCCCCGGCCCUCGGAAAGCUAAGUUGAGGGACCGUGGCCGGGGAGGGAGCGAGUUUGGGGG